rnacentral:rRNA from 1 species
AGCAGCCAUCAUUUAAAGAAAGCGUAAUAGCUCACUGGUCGAGUCGGCCUGCGCGGAAGAUGUAACGGGGCUAAGCGAUACACCGAAGCUGCGGCAAUGUCCUUAUGGAUAUUGGGUAGGGGAGCGUUGUGUAAGCUGUUGAAGGUGUGCUGAGAGGCAUGCUGGAGGUAUCACAAGUGCGAAUGCUGACAUGAGUAACGAUAAAGGG